CCCUACGGGGUGCAGCAGGCGCGAAACCUCCGCAAUGUGCGGAAGCAUGACGGGGUCAUCCCGAGUGUCACCCGCUGAGGGUGACUUUUGCCUGGUGUAACGAGCCGGGUGAAUAAGGGGAGGGCAAGUCUGGUGUCAGCCGCCGCGGUAAUACCAGCUCCUCGAGUGGUUGGGACGAUUAUUGGGUCUAAAGCGUCCGUAGCCGGCCGGAAAAGUUCUCCGUUAAAUCCAACGAUCCAAUCGUUGGGCUGCGGGGAAUACUUUCCGGCUUGGGGGCGGGGGAGGUCGGCGGUAGUCCCGGGGUAGGGGCGAAAUCCUAUAAUCCCGGGAGGACCACCAGUGGCGUAGGCGGUCGACUAAAACGCGCCCGACGGUGAGGGACGAAAGCUGGGGGAGCGAACGGGAUUAGAUACCCCGGUAGUCCCAGCUGUAAACGAUGCAGGCUAGGUGGUUGGGACGGCUACGAGCCGUCCCAGUGCCGCAGGGAAGCCAUUAAGCCUGCCACCUGGGGAGUACGGCCGCAAGGCUGAAACUUAAAGGAAUUGGCGGGGGAGCACCACAAGGGGUGAAGCUUGCGGUUUAAUUGGAGUCAACACCGGGAACCUUACCAGGAGCGACAGUUGGAUGAAGGUCAGAUUAAAGGUCUUACCGGACUAGCUGAGAGGAGGUGCAUGGCC
rnacentral:rRNA from 1 species